rnacentral:rRNA from 1 species
GGGAAACUGCCUGAUGGAGGGGGAUAACUACUGGAAACGGUAGCUAAUACCGCAUAACCUCGCAAGAGCAAAGAGGGGGACCUUAGGGCCUCUCGCCAUCAGAUGUGCCCAGAUGGGAUUAGCUAGUAGGUGAGGUAAUGGCUCACCUAGGCGACGAUCCCUAGCUGGUCUGAGAGGAUGACCAGCCACACUGGAACUGAGACACGGUCCAGACUCCUACGGGAGGCAGCAGUGGGGAAUAUUGCACAAUGGGCGCAAGCCUGAUGCAGCCAUGCCGCGUGUGUGAAGAAGGCCUUCGGGUUGUAAAGCACUUUCAGCGAGGAGGAAGGCGGUAAGGUUAAUAACCUUAUCGAUUGACGUUACUCGCAGAAGAAGCACCGGCUAACUCCGUGCCAGCAGCCGCGGUAGUACGGAGGGUGCAAGCGUUAAUCGGAAUGACUGGGCGUAAAGCGCACGCAGGCGGUCUGUUAAGUUGGAUGUGAAAUCCCCGGGCUUAACCUGGGAACUGCAUUCAAAACUGACAGGCUAGAGUCUUGUAGAGGGGGGUAGAAUUCCAGGU